rnacentral:rRNA from 1 species
GACGAACGCUGGCGGCGUGCCUAAUACAUGCAAGUCGAGCGAAGAGACGAGGAGCUUGCUCCUCUGACGUUAGCGGCGGACGGGUGAGUAACACGUGGAUAACCUACCUAUAAGACUGGGAUAACUUCGGGAAACCGGAGCUAAUACCGGAUAAUAUAUUGAACCGCAUGGUUCAAUAGUGAAAGACGGAUUUGCCGUAACUUAUAGAUGGAUCGCGGCCGCAUUAGCUAGUUGGUAAGGUAAAGGCCUACCAAGGCAACGAUGCGUAGCUGACCUGCAAGGGUGAUCGGCCACACGGGACUUGAGACACGGUCCAGACUCCUACGGGGGGCAGCGUUAGGGAAUCUUCCGCAAUGGGCGAAAGCCGAACGGAGCAACGCGGCGGGAGUGAUGAAGGUCUUCGGAUCGUAAAACUCUGUUGUUAGGGAAGAACAAAUGUGUAAGUAACUGUGCACGUCUUGACGGUACCUAAUCAGAAAGCCACGGCUAACUACGUG